UACGAAGGGUGCAAGCGUUACUCGGAAUUACUGGGCGUAAAGCGUGCGUAGGUGGUGAGUUAAGUCUGUCGUGAAAGCCCCGGGCUCAACCUGGGAAUGGCGAUGGAUACUGGCUCGCUAGAGUGCGGUAGAGGAGAGUGGAAUUCCCGGUGUAGCAGUGAAAUGCGUAGAGAUCGGGAGGAACAUCAGUUGCGAAGGCGGCUCUCUGGAC
rnacentral:rRNA from 1 species